rnacentral:rRNA from 1 species
UGGGGAAUUUUGCGCAAUGGGCGAAAGCCUGACGCAGCGACGCCGCGUGAGGGAUGAAGGUCCUAGGAUUGUAAACCUCUGUCAGGAAGCAUUAAAUGCGCGGUUAUCAACACCAGCCGCGCUUGACUUAACUUCCAGAGGAAGCCCCGGCUAACUACGUGCCAGCAGCCGCGGUAAUACGUAGGGGGCAAGCGUUACUCGGAUUUAUUGGGCGUAAAGAGAAUUAAGGCGGUCAUGUAAGUCAGUGGUGAAAUACCUCGGCUCAACUGAGGAAUUGCCUUUGAUACUGCGUGACUUGAGGACAGGAGAGGAAGGCGGAAUUCCCGGUGUAGCGGUGGAAUGCGUAGAUAUCGGGAGGAACACCUGAGGCGAAGGCGGCUUUCUGGACUGGUCCUGACGCUGAUAUUCGAAAGCUAGGGGAGCAAACAGG